AGAGUUUGAUCAUGGCUCAGAAUGAACGCUGGCGGCAUGCCUAACACAUGCAAGUCGAACGAAGGCUUCGGCCUAGUGGCGCACGGGUGCGUAACGCGUGGGAAUCUGCCCCUUGGUUCGGAAUAACAGUUAGAAAUGACUGCUAAUACCGGAUGAUGACGUAAGUCCAAAGAUUUAUCGCCGAGGGAUGAGCCCGCGUAGGAUUAGCUAGUUGGUGUGGUAAGAGCGCACCAAGGCGACGAUCCUUAGCUGGUCUGAGAGGAUGAUCAGCCACACUGGGACUGAGACACGGCCCAGACUCCUACGGGAGGCAGCAGUGGGGAAUAUUGGACAAUGGGCGAAAGCCUGAUCCAGCCAAUGCCGCGUGAGUGAUGAAGGCCUUAGGGUUGUAAAGCUCUUUUACCCGGGAUGAUAAUGACAGUACCGGGAGAAUAAGCUCCGGCUAACUCCGUGCCAGCAGCAGC
rnacentral:rRNA from 1 species